rnacentral:rRNA from 1 species
GAUCCUGGCUCAGGAUGAACGCUAGCUACAGGCUUAACACAUGCAAGUCGAGGGGCAGCAUGGUCUUAGCUUGCUAAGGCCGAUGGCAACCGGCGCACGGGUGAGUAACGCGUAUCCAACCUGCCUUACACUCUUGGACAGCCUUCUGAAAGGGAGAUUAAUACAAGAUGUUAUCAUGAGUAAGCAUUUUCGCAUGAUUAAAGGUUUACCGGUGUAGGAUGGGGAUGCGUUCCAUUAG